rnacentral:lncRNA from 10 species
AAAGAAGAAAAAAUGGAAGACACUAAGAGAGAAAUCAGUCUGCAUUGUGCUUUUACACAUAAUCUUCUUGUUAUGACACCUGAGGAGCAAGAAGUGGAGAAUUCUUAAGCAAGGAGGUGGUCUUUGUUCUGCAUUUGGAAGGAGCUAAGCUUACUGCAGGUGUAAUGAAGGCAAGUGGAUGUCGGAAAGCGGUACAAACUUGUGUAAAAGUACGGAAGGAAAAGUGACAACUUGGUGUGCCUGGAGUGAAAGGUUUCUUUUUUGGAGAGAUUUACACCUCGCUAUCUUCUCUGGCUGGCUCAACCUGAAGGAUCCCAAUUUUGAAAGAAAAAGCAUGUGAUCAGCAUGGGAGUUUCGACCUGCUCCGUUUCCGACCUGGGCCAGUUCACCCCUCCUUAGGCAACCUGGUGGUCCCCGCUCCCAGGAGGUCACCAUAUUGAUGCCAAACUUAGUGCGGACACCCGAUACGCAUAGCACACUACAGCCCAGAACUCCUGGACUCAAGCGAUCCUCCAGCCUCAGCCUCCUGAGUAGCUGGGACUACAGGCACAAAGACCUAUUUAUGACAAACCCACAGCCAAUAUCACACUGAAUGGGCAAAAACUGGAAGCAUUCCCUUUGAAAACUGGCACAAGACAGGGAUGCCCUCUCUUACCACUCCUAUUCAACAUGGUGUUGGAAGUUCUGGUCAGGGCAAUCAGGCAGGAGAAAGAAAUAAAGGGUAUUCAAUUAGGAAAAGAGGAAGUCAAAUUGUCCCUGUUUGCAGAUGACAUGAUUGUAUAUUUAGAAAACCCCAUCGUCUCAGCCCAAAAUCUCCUUAAGCUGACAAGCGACUUCAGCAAAGUCUCAGGAUACAAAAUCAAUGUGCAAAAAUCACAAGCAUUCUUAUACACCAAUAACAGACAGAGAGCCAAAUCAUGAGUGAACUCCCAUUCACAAUUGCUUCAAAGAGAAUAAAAUACCUAGGAAUCCAACUUACAAAAGAGAACUACAAACCACUGCUCAACGAAAUAAAAGAGGACACAAACAAAUGGAAGAACAUUCCAUGCUCAUGGAUAGGAGAAUCAAUAUUGUGAAAAUGGCCUUACUGCCCAAGGUAAUUUAUAGAUUCAAUGCAUCCCCAUCAAGCUACCAAUGACUUUCUUCACAGAAUUGGAAAAAACUACUUUAAAGUUCAUAUGGAACCAAAAAAGAGCCCACAUUGCCAAGUCAAUCCUAAGCCAAAAGAACAAAGCUGGAGGCAUCACGCUACCUGACUUCAAACUAUGCUACAAGGCUAUAGUCACCAAAACAGCAUGGUACUGGUACCAAAACAGAGAUAGAGACCAAUGGAACAGAACAGAGCCCUCAGAAGUAAUGCCACACAUCUACAACCAUCUGAUCUUUGACAAACCUGACAAAAACAAGAAAUAGGGAAAGGAUUCCCUAUUUAACAAAUGGUGCUGGGAAAACUGGCUAACCAUAUGUAGAAAGCCGAAACUGGAUCCCUUCCUUACACCUUAUACCAAAAUUAAUUCGAGAUGGAUUAAAGACUUAAAUUUUAGACCUAAAACCAUAAAAAUCCUAGAAGAAAACCUAGGCAAUACCAUUCAGGA